CCUCAAGCUGCUGUUGCUCGUCUGUGGCGAUCCAGAAAUAGCAGCAGCUUGUCUGGA
ensembl:miRNA